rnacentral:rRNA from 1 species
AGCAGCCGCGGUAAUUCCAGCUCCAAUAGCGUAUAUUAAAGUUGUUGCAGUUAAAAAGCUCGUAGUUGAAUUUCGGGACCAGUAUGUUGGUCGUGCUUCGGUACGUACUGUCAUUACUGGUUUCUCCCUUCUGAAGAACCUUGAUGUCAUUAAUUUGGUGUCUUGGGGAAUCAGGACUGUUACUUUGAAAAAAUUAGAGUGUUUAAAGCAGGCUCGCGCUUGAAUACAUUAGCAUGGAAUAAUGAAAUAGGACGUUUGAUUCUAUUUUGUUGGUUUCUAGGAUUGACGUAAUGAUUAAUAGGGAUAGUUGGGGGCAUUAGUAUUCAAUUGUCAGAGGUGAAAUUCUUGGAUUUAUUGAAGACUAACUACUGCGAAAGCAUUUGCCAAGGAUGUUUUCGUUAAUCUAAGAACGA